GGGUCAAGCCUCACCUCCUUCCAGCCCGACCCAGACAAGGAGCUGAAGGAAGAUCUCUGAGACCCAGCUGCUGCCACCAUGACCUCAGAAGACCAUAGGGGAAGCUCAGGGGUCAAGCCUCACCUCCUUCCAGCCCGACCCAGACAAGGAGCUGAAGGAAGAUCUCUGAGACCCAGCUGCUGCCACCAUGACCUCAGAAGACCAUAGGGGAAGCUCAGAGAGCCAAAGCUUUUAUAAGGAUGUCUUUGAGUAUGUCCAGAAGAAUAUGAGUUUAGAAGAACUGCUCUCCCUGCUCACUGAAGAUGAACCCUGGGAGAAUCUUGUGACCGAGGCCAAUUUGUCCAGGGAAGAGGCAGAUGGACUCAGUGAAUGUCUGAUCAAGCUGCUAACAAUCUUGAACAGGAAGAACCAAGAGGGAUCCCAAAAAUACCAGCAGAAAAAGCAGAGGUUUUUGAAGGAGUUUCCUCAGGUAAAACAGGAGCUGAAGGAGAGCAUAAAAAAGCUCCGGGAGCUCGCAGACAAAGUUGACAAGGUGCACUGGGACUGCACCAUCUCCAAUAUGGUGGCCUCCUCCACCAGUAUUGCGUCUGGUGCCCUGAGCAUCCUUGGCCUGGGUCUGGCACCCUUUACAGCAGGCCUCAGUCUGGGACUCUCAGCCGCUGGAAUAGGGCUGGGAGCAGCAGCUACUGUAACAGGUUUGUCCACCAUGGUGGUGGAAACUGUAAACACGUCGUCAGCAGAAACCCAGGCCAAGUGCCUUAGCAAAGCCACAGCAAACUCUGCAAGUCUUCUCAAACAAGUUAAAAACUUUGGGAAGCAUAUUCAAGCCAUUAGGGUGGCCAGACACAACCCUCAAUUAGUAGACACUGCUCGGCGCCUCAUAAACACAGGGCGACUCUCUGUCCAAAGUGCCCAGCAGGUGACAAGAAAUUUCGGAGGCACACCUCUGGCAGCGACUAGAGCAGCCCGCAUCGGGAGUGGAGUCCUCUCAGGUGUAUUCAUAGGGCUGGACGUGUACUCCCUGGUGAAAGACGCACAGGACUUGCAGGAGGGGGCAAAGACAGCAUCGGCUGAGAACAUGAGGCAGGAAGCCCAGGAGCUGGAGAGGAAGUUGGAGAAGCUCACCCGGAUCUAUGAGAGUCUGCAAUAG
rnacentral:lncRNA from 1 species